rnacentral:rRNA from 1 species
CAGAGCACUCCUACGGGAGGCAGCAGUAGGGAAUAUUGGUCAAUGGGCGAGAGCCUGAACCAGCCAUGCCGCGUGCAGGAAGACGGCCUUCUGGGUUGUAAACUGCUUUAUCAGGGAACAAAAAGGCCAUGCGUGGCAAAUUGCGUGUACUGAAGAAUAAGGACCGGCUAACUCCGUGCCAGCAGCCGCGGUAAUACGGAGGGUCCAAGCGUUGUCCGGAUUAUUGGGUUUAAAGGGUGCGUAGGCGGCCCUAUAAGUCAGUGGUGAAAUCCUUCAGCUCAACUGGAGAACUGCCAUUGAUACUGUAGGGCUUGAGUACAGACGAGGUAGGCGGAAUUUAUGGUGUAGCGGUGAAAUGCAUAGAUACCAUAAAGAACACCUAUUGCGAAGGCAGCUUACUAGACUGUAACUGACGCUGAGGCACGAAAGCGUGGGGAGCGAACAGGAUUAGAUACCCUGGUAG